rnacentral:rRNA from 1 species
AUUGAACGCUGGCGGCAGGCCUAACACAUGCAAGUCGAGCGGAGCGGCGGACGGGUGAGUAAUACCUAGGAAUCUGCCUGGUAGUGGGGGAUAACGUUCGGAAACGGACUCUAAUACCGCAUACUAUCAGAUGAGCCUAGGUCGGAUUAGCUAGUUGGUGAGGUAAUGGCUCACCAAGGCUACGAUCCGUAACUGGUCUGAGAGGAGGAUCAGUCACACUGGAACUACGACACGUUCCAGACUCAUACGGGAGGCAGCAGUGGGGAAUAUUGGACAAUGGGCGAAAGGCUGAUCCAGCCACGCCGCGUGUGUGAAGAAGGUCUACGGAUGUUAAAGCACUUUAAGUUGGGAGACGUUACCGACAGAAUAAGCACCGGCUAACUCUGUGCCAGCAGCCGCGGCAAUAC